rnacentral:snRNA from 1 species
GUGUUUGCUUUGGCAGCACAUAUACUAAAAUUGGAAUGAUACAGAGAAGAUUAGCAUGCCCCCUGCACAAGGAUGACACGCACAUUCAUGAAGCAUUCCAUUUUUUU